rnacentral:rRNA from 1 species
CUACGGGCGGCAGCAGUAAGGAAUAUUGGUCAAUGGACGCAAGUCUGAACCAGCCAUGCCGCGUGAAGGAUUAAGGUCCUCUGGAUUGUAAACUUCUUUUAUUUGGGACGAAAAAGGGUCUUUCUAGACCAACUGACGGUACCAGAUGAAUAAGCACCGGCUAACUCCGUGCCAGCAGCCGCGGUAAUACGGAGGGUGCAAGCGUUAUCCGGAUUCACUGGGUUUAAAGGGUGCGUAGGCGGGUAGGUAAGUCAGUGGUGAAAUCCUAGAGCUUAACUCUAGAACUGCCAUUGAUACUAUCUAUCUUGAAUAUUGUGGAGGUAAGCGGAAUAUGUCAUGUAGCGGUGAAAUGCUUAGAUAUGACAUAGAACACCUAUUGCGAAGGCAGCUUACUACGCAUAUAUUGACGCUGAGGCACGAAAGCGUGGGGAUCAAACAGGAUUAGAUACCCUGGUAGUC